CACGUAGGGGGCGAGCGUUGUCCGGAUUCAUUGGGCGUAAAGGGCGCGCAGGCGGCCCGGAAAGUCGGAUGUGAAAACUCGAGGCUCAACCUCGAGCGUGCACCCGAUACUGCCGGGCUUGAGGCAGGUAGGGGAGAUCGGAAUUCCUGGUGUAGCGGUGAAAUGCGCAGAUAUCAGGAGGAACACCGGUGGCGAAGGCGGAUCUCUGGGCCUGUCCUGACGCUGAGGCGCGAAAGCUAGGGGAGCGAACAGG
rnacentral:rRNA from 1 species